rnacentral:lncRNA from 1 species
ACUCCAGUUUCUAGGGGCUCUGUCCUCUAGGGCCUUAGUCCUCUAUCCCAUUGCCCACUGUGCAGGAAUGGCGUAGCCAUCUAAUAAGCCUUUCUCUUCUUGGCUGCCAACCUUGUGAUGUUUAUUGUUCAACAGUGGUUGUGCCCUGUGUUCUUUAGUAGGAGGAGAGGUACCAUAUCUACUCUCCAUCCAAGUCACCACCUCUCUCCAAGGGUCAGUGAGGAAAGAUACAGACUCAGCAUAAAGGUGUCCUCCAAGACAGGGCAGUGAUGGAUCUUUAUUAGUAGACAUUUUAAUUUCUUCCCAAGUGUGGCUUGCCCUGACGCCGUCUAUGACAGGAAUGUCUCUUCUCUUGACCUACCAUCACCGUUCUUACAUAAAAUGCACCGCCGCCGCCACCACCACCACCACCACCACCACCCGGCCUUCAUCAGUGCUGUGCCUUGUGACUGGCAACUCAGACUUCCUGACCCUCUGUCGGUCAGCACUGGGCAGAAGAAUGGAUCUUCUUGACAAAACGCAUUUCCUGUCUGGAAAGCUGGCCACUUCUAGUUUCCCACAUGGUACCAUCUGGCUCUUAGAAGAAGAUGCCGGCUUUAAGGAAGCCUUGCUAUUUAGACAGAUGCAGCAUUUGUAUCUAUUGGAGAACUUUCCAUCCCCCAAUGUUUUACAAGGCAAAAGUCAUCCAAUAAACUGCCUCUCUUAUUGUUU